rnacentral:rRNA from 1 species
CGGUUGAUCCUGCCGGAGGCCACUGCUAUUGGGAUUCGAUUCAGCCAUGCGAGUCGAGAGGGUUCGGCCCUCGGCUGACGGCUCAGUAACACGUGGAUAAUCUCCCCUUAGGAGGAGGAUAACCCCGGGAAACUGGGGAUAAUACUCCAUAGAUCGAGGAUGCUGGAAUGCACCUAGAUUAAAAACUCCGGUGCCUAAGGAUGAGUCUGCGGACUAUCAGGUAGUAGUCAGGGUAAUGACCUGACUAGCCUACGACGGAUACGGGUUGUGAGAGCAAUAACCCGGAGAUGAUAUCUGAGACACGAUAUCAGGCCCUACGGGGCGCAGCAGGCGCGAAAACUUCACACUGCGCGAAAGCGCGAUGAGGGAAUCCCAAGUGCUUGCACGUAAGUGUAAGCUGUUUCUAUGUCUAAAAAACAUAGAGAGUAAGAGCUGGGUAAGACGGGUGCCAGCCGCCGCGGUAAUACCUGCAGCUCAAGUGGUGGCCGUUAUUAUUGGGCCUAAAACGUCCGUAGCCGGUUUACUAAAUGCCCGGGUAAAUCGUGCCGCUUAACGGUACGAAUUCCGGGUAGACUGGUAAACUUGAGACCGGGAGAAGCUAGAGGUACUCCUGGGGUAGAGGUGAAAUUCUGUAAUCCUAGGGGGACCACCAGUGGCGAAGGCGUCUAGCUAGAACGGGUCUGACGGUGAGGGACGAAGCCCUGGGGCGCAAACCGGAUUAGAUACCCGGGUAGUCCAGGGUGUAAACGCUGCUUGCUUGAUGUUAGUCGGGCUCCGAGCCCGAUUAGUGUCGGAAAGAAGUUGUUAAGCAAGCUGCCUGGGAAGUACGGCCGCAAGGCUGAAACUUAAAGGAAUUGGCGGGGGAGCAC